UACGUAGGGUGCAAGCGUUAAUCGGAAUUACUGGGCGUAAAGCGUGCGCAGGCGGUAAUGCAAGACAGACGUGAAAUCCCCAGGCUUAACCUGGGAACUGCGUCUGAUACUGGAUGGCUAGAGUUUGGGAGAGGGAUGCGGAAUUCCAGGUGUAGCGGUGAAAUGCGUAGAUAUCUGGAGGAACACCGGUGGCGAAGGCGGCAUCCUGGACCAACACUGACGCUGAGGAGCGAAAGCCAGGGGAGCAAACGGG
rnacentral:rRNA from 1 species